AGGUGUUGUUAUGUAGAUAAAGGCUAAUUAAGAGUGCGAAGACAUAGGCUUGAAUUAGGGCUACUGCAAUUUCUAGAGUGGUUAGUAAUACCAGAAGUGUGGAGGUUAGCAGAGUUAUGGAGAGGCUGGUGGUUGAUAGUGCUAGUACAGCGUUUCCGAUUAGGUGUAUUAGCAGAUGGCCGGCUGUGAUGUUUGCGGUUAAUCGUACGGCUAGAGCUACUGGUUGAAUAAGUAGGCUGAUAGUUUCGAUUGCUACUAACAUGGGAAUGAGAGGUGUGGGUGUGCCUUGUGGUAGGAGGUGGGCUAGGGAGUUUUUGGUUUUAAAGCGAAGCCCCACUACUACUGUGCCUGCUCAUAGAGGGAUUGCUAUAGCUAGGUUUAUGGAAAGUUGGGUGGUUGGUGUGAACGAGUAAGGCAUAAGUCCUAGGAGGUUUGUUAUAGCAAUAAGGGUGAUUAGGGAUAUUAGUAUUAAGGAUCAGGUUUGUCCUUUAGCGUUGUGAGUUAUUAUUAUUUGUUUUAGGGUGAAUCGAGUCAGGUCUUGUUGAAUGGUAGCUAGUCGAUUACUAAUGGGGUGUUUGGGGGUUAAGAUUAAUAGGGGUAUUUCAUGUGGUGUAGGCAUCGGGAUAAUCAGAGUAGCGUCGGGGUAUUCCGGACAGGCCAAGGAAGUGCUGUGGAAAGAAGGUUAAAUUUACACCCACGAAUAUAAUGAUGAAGUGGGCUUUGGCACAGGUUUGGUUCAGUGUGUAGCCUGAGAAUAAAGGAAAUCAGUGUAUAAAGCCCCCCAUAAUGGCGAAUACAGCCCCUAUUGACAGAACAUAAUGAAAGUGGGCGACAACGUAGUAUGUAUCGUGUAGUACGAUAUCUAGGGAUGAGUUCGCCAAGAUGAUGCCGGUUAGACCUCCUACAGUAAAUAGGAAGAUAAAGCCUAGGGCUCAAAGUAUUGCUGGGGACCAUUUAAUGUUGCCCCCAUGAAGUGUAGCAAGCCAGCUAAAAACUUUCACACCGGUGGGGAUUGCAAUGAUUAUAGUGGCGGAAGUGAAAUAGGCUCGUGUGUCUACGUCUAUGCCGACUGUAAACAUGUGGUGGGCUCAUACAAUAAAACCUAAAAACCCAAUUGAUAUUAUGGCCCAAACUAUGCCCAUAUACCCAAAUGGUUCUUUUUUUCCAGAGUAGUAAGCUACAAUGUGAGAGACUAUUCCGAAGCCGGGAAGAAUAAGGAUGUAGACUUCGGGGUGACCAAAGAAUCAAAAUAGGUGUUGAUAUAGGAUAGGAUCUCCCCCUCCAACAGGGUCAAAGAAAGUAGUAUUGAGGUUGCGAUCUGUUAGUAGCAUGGUAAUGCCAGCGGCUAGGACUUGUAGAGAGAGGAGUAGAAGGAUUGCUGUGAUUAAGAUUGAUCAGACAAAUAAAGGGGUUUGGUAUUGGGAUACUGCGGGGGGUUUUAUGUUGAUGAUGGUGGUAAUGAAGUUGAUGGCUCCUAAGAUAGAGGAAAUACCUGCUAGGUGGAGAGAGAAGAUGACUAAGUCUACAGAAGCUCCUGGGUGGGAGAAGUUUCCUGCCAGGGGGGGAUAUACUGUUCAGCCUGUUCCGGCGCCAGCUUCUACCACGGCGGAUGCUAUUAGUAGCAGGAAAGAAGGGGGGAGGAGUCAGAAGCUCAUGUUGUUUAGACGGGGAAAUGCUAUGUCGGGAGCGCCGAUUAUUAGGGGCACUAGUCAGUUCCCGAACCCCCCAAUUAUAAUGGGUAUAACUGUAAAGAAAAUUAUAACAAAUGCAUGGGCCGUUACAAUAACGUUAUAGAUGUGGUCGUUGCCUAGUAGGUUGCCGGGUUGGCCUAGUUCAGCUCGAAUGAGGAGGCUUAGGGCAGUGCCUAUGAUUCCAGCUCAUGCACCAAAUAGUAAAUACAGGGUUCCAAUGUCUUUGUGAUUUGUUGAAAAGAGUCAGCGAUUGAUGAGCAUAAG
rnacentral:lncRNA from 1 species